ensembl:snRNA
GUGUUGUACAAAAGGAGAGAAGGUUAGCACUCCCCUUGAUAAGGAAAGAAGAUGUCCUAGUGGUCUUUACAACACACAUACAGUUAAGACAACUAAUGUGGAAAUGUUUAACAUGAUUGCACAUGUAU